UACGUAGGGUGCAAGCGUUAAUCGGAAUUACUGGGCGUAAAGCGUGCGCAGGCGGUUUUGUAAGUCUGACGUGAAAUCCCCGGGCUCAACCUGGGAACUGCAUUUGGGACUGCAAGGCUUGAGUACGGCAGAGGGGGGUAGAAUUCCACGUGUAGCAGUGAAAUGCGUAGAGAUGUGGAGGAAUACCGAUGGCGAAGGCAGCCCCCUGGGAUAACACUGACGCUCAUGCACGAAAGCGUGGGGAGCAAACAGG
rnacentral:rRNA from 1 species